rnacentral:snRNA from 1 species
UGAAACAAUCAUAUUAAUCAAAGCCAGACCCAAAGAAACAUAGUCUACACAUUUGGUCAAAGAGGACAACCAUCCCCGAUAUAGGAUUAUGGGCCUUUGGUCAAGAGAAUACAAGUAGCUGCACUCCCCUGCUAGAACCUCCAAACAAACUCUCAAGAAUCUCAUGGACUUUCCUGCCUGGGCUGGCUUUGAACCUCCAUCCUCAGAUCUCAGCCUCCUGAGUAGCUAGGAGGUGUGUG